AAAUGUCCUUGAUGAUUCUAAAAUUAAUUUUCAAUACCGACUAUGAAAUUUGAAACUAAAAGAAUAGUACAGAUCUUGCAAAUUGAUAAAUGCUUAUUUUUAGGGCGAAAUGGAAGGUAUAGAUAAUGUUUUAAAAUAGAUACUAUUUUUUGGCUUGAAAUCCUAAAUUUAUUUCACAACCAUAAUGGUGAGGCUUUACUUAUUUUGAUACGGCUGUGGCCCUAUCAAAACAUUUUCUUUACAUUUUGAUAUGUAAUUUAUUAGAAAAUAUCAUUCAUAUGGUCUUUCAUACUCAAUAUAAAGUUAAAAGAUUAAAAUAAAAAUAUUAUUUAUAUGGUCCAACCACCAUAAAAGAUCAGUUGUGUUGUUAAAUAAACUAUUUUACCCAUAUAGUGGUUACUUUUUAAAAUGGAUACCUCUCCAAGAAAAAAUGCUUAAAAUUGCCAUUCUUCUAGGAUUGUAACCCCCAAUCAAUCAUUGCUCUUCCAGUAAUUUGUUAUAUUUAAGUCAUUUGAGCAAAAUGACAUAAAUAAAAUUUCAAAACUAGAAUAUUAAUAUGAACUAAAAACAUUAUUAUUCUAGAUUUGGAAUUUGGAACAAGAAACACCAUUUUGUAGUUUAGCCCCUAUUAAAUUAAAUGAGUCCAAAG
rnacentral:lncRNA from 1 species